rnacentral:snoRNA from 1 species
ACCCUCUAGAACCCUUAGCCCUCAGAUCUAAAUAUUGGUCUGAGUAGCUAAAGUAGGAGGAAAAGUAAAAUUGAAGGGGAUUUGGAGUCUUCAGUGAGAUACAAGUCCCUGUCAAACAUAU